GUUUUGCAUUCCCUCCACCAGUUUUACAGUCAAUAAUAAUAUUUAUCAUUGGCUUUUUUUUAGCAAACACCUUGAAUUUCACAAUUUCCUUCCACAAAAGAACAAUUUUAGCAGUGACAUAAUUUUAACGGAGCAACUGAGCACCCUGAGCUGAGAGCUCAGAAGGCAGGACCCUCUGGAGCGCCAGGGCAUGGUGACAGUCUGCGUGGACCUGCUGCCUCACACCCCUGCCCGUCGGAGUUCUCUGAUUGGGGGCUUUCUCUUUAAGCAAUGGAAGGAGAAGUUCCUUUUCCUCUCCAUGGACGGGAGCCUCCUGAUCUGCCGUGAUGCCCAGUCCCCGGCCGAGCUGGGCAUCUCACUUAGCACCAGCUGCCAGGCCAUCCUGGAGGGCAGCGAGAUCUGCGAUCUGCCCCGCCUGCCCCUGGGAGCCCAGCGGGACAGCUGCUUGGGCCUCAGCCUCAGUGAUGGGAAGUUCCUUCUGCUGCUGGCCCCAGACAGCCAGGAGUGCAGAGCUUCUCCCAAGGGUCCCCAGCGAGGUGCAAGCUGCACAUCGACUCUCCGUCUAGGAAAUGCUGCUGGAGAGAAGGGGGAGGAGGUUCUCCUGGCACCCAGAACAGAGGAGCCACCAGGAGCAGCCUGUGCAAGGAGACUUGCUCACCCCGUUGCCUGCGCCACGGCUCCCAGAUGCAUGCGGGGGUGAAGGCUGCCUGCCUGCUGAUGGGGGGAGCAGCAGCUGGCCCCACCAUGGGCUACAUGGUGACCUCGGCCACGGCCAGCCGGCCUGGGGAGAUGCACCCCCUCGACUUCAAAGAACUGGGCUAUCACCCGUCCACCUGCGAUGCUGAUGCCUCCCAGUAUGAGAUGCUGGAUUACGAAGGGCUGGACCAGGACUUCGACGCGCUGGACUUCGGGGGAUUUGCCUUCUAGACACACACAGUUCUCCCCCUGCCCAGAUUUAAAGGGCUAAACAGAGAUUGGGUGGGCCUGAUUUCCUCAGAAAUUAGUCACCCCCCAGCUCAGAGUGGCAGCGCAUUACGCAGCCUUACACUGGUGUCACAGGGGAGGGCAGGCGGGGGGUGAGGGGGUUAAUAGGGAUAUUUUCUCUUCUCCCAAGAUGGGGAUUUGUUUGUUUGUUUGUUGUUUUUUUAAUCUCUCCCCCCACCAUGUCUGACUGUCCUCAACACUCAGGUUUCCCGUGUGCCCCUGCUGCCGUGGUGACUCGGGCUUGACUCUUGCCCUUGAUUAUGUUCCCUCCCCCCACUAAUGUUACCUUGGGGUAACUCAUGGCAGGAUCACCCCCCCCCC
ensembl:lncRNA